rnacentral:misc_RNA from 1 species
AUAAUGUACUGCUAGAAUGUUUGUACAGUUUGUUUUUGUACUGCUGGGUCUGGAGGUGUGUACUAGGGUGGAGGGGAUAACCUGUUAUAUCUGUGAGUCCUAUAGAGAUUUUAGAUGUUUAGAUCCAUUCGAUUAUCAGCCCUUUGUGCAGAUGAACUGUGACCAGGCAAGCUGGGUUCGGGAGAAGAAUCCUGUUUUCUGUGAGAAAAGGACCGAGGUUGUUGACGGGGUUUACGUGACAACACGAGGCUGCAGUAUAGAUUUCAAAUGGGAGGAUGUACAGGAGUACGCGGAUCACAGGGGAGGACGGAUACCUUGUAUCCGGAGAGGAAGGAAGGAAACUUGUCUUUGCACCGAGGAUAGAUGUAACUCUUCUAAAUCCUUGAACCUGGUUUUCUCUUUCCCAGUUCUUCUUAUCCUAACAUUUGUUUUCCAAUCCUUCUCAUCUUAAUCUUCUCAUUAAACCUCCAUUCUAAAAUUCCUGAAAUCAUCCUAACUUUUUCUCAUCCAUUUCCUUCGAUUAUAAAAAUUCUUGACCAUUUGGUAUUAUUUCAAUAUAAUAGUGACCCUCAAGUAUAAUCAAACACAAAUUUAUAAAUCCACAUAAAAGCAUAUUGUCAUUUAUUGCGUAUUUGCGAUUAUAUUAGACAAUUAGUGUAAAAGUAUAUAAUCCAUUAUAUAAACUUAAACAAUGCUAUAAUAACAUAAUUGUUUACAUGAUGAAUAUUAUAAAUAUUAUGUGUAUAUAUUAUUUUUAGUUUUCCAAGAAAUGUAAUUAUUACAAAACUGAACAUGUUUACCUGAAAAAUGAUCUAGAACAUUCCGUCCAAUCUACUCAAUCGAUAUUUUUAAACAUUUAUAUUUUUAUAUAACGUUAUAUUUGUUGUGUUUGUAUAUAUGUAAUCUCUUCAGAAA